rnacentral:rRNA from 1 species
CCUACGGGUGGCAGCAGUGGGGAAUAUUGGGCAAUGGGCGCAAGCCUGACCCAGCAACGCCGCGUGAAGGAAGAAGGCUUUCGGGUUGUAAACUUCUUUUGACAGGGAAGAGUAGAAGACGGUACCUGUCGAAUAAGCCACGGCUAACUACGUGCCAGCAGCCGCGGUAAUACGUAGGUGGCAAGCGUUGUCCGGAUUUACUGGGUGUAAAGGGCGUGUAGCCGGGUUGACAAGUCAGAUGUGAAAUCCUGCGGCUUAACCGCAGAACUGCAUUUGAAACUGUUGAUCUUGAGUACUGGAGAGGCAGACGGAAUUCCUAGUGUAGCGGUGAAAUGCAUAGAUAUCACACAGAACACCGAUUGCGAAGGCAUCUCACGAAUCCGCGAUUGACGCUGAUGCACGAAAGCGUGGGUAUCAAACAGGAUUAGAUACCCUUGUAGUC